AGUGCCAUCCAUGCCCAGCCCCGUGGAGCCCUGGCUGGCCUCGGCGCUGCUGCCGCCCUCUGGCAGCCGUGCCCUUGGGCGGCAGCGUGCGGCCAGGGCCCGGCCCGAGCCCUGCCGGGCCAGCAGGCCGUGUGGCCCCAGGGCUGGCAGCACCGCUGGCAGGGAGCUGUGCCGCUGGGGCCGUGACAGGCUCUGUGUUCACAGGGAUGGCCGGGCGGCACCUCAGAGGCCAAAAGCGAGAGCUGCGGCACAUCUGUCAGGCCCUUGAAGACAAGGCAGAGAACAUCAGCCCUUCCACCAGAAGCCUGGCUCUCGAAACAGCCUUUGUCCUCCGGGCUGUGGAGAGAGCUCCGGGCUCCAUCUUGCAGAAGCUGCAAGAUCGGUUUCUCAGGGCACGCAAGAAACGGCCUUGUCUCUGGGGCCACAGCUGGCUGUGCUGCUGGGGCUCUGAGGAGCGCUGAUUUGAGGGGCUCUCUGUCUGCUAGGGCCAUCUGAGCCAGGGGGGAUUUUUCUUUUCUUUAAGAUUGGUUAUUUUCCUUAUUUUUAGUUGUUCUUGAGGCUAUAAAUAUAGAAUGUGUUCUAAUA